GUGUCGUGAGAUGUUGGUUAAGUCCGCACGAGCGCAACCCUACUUGUUAGUUGCCAUCAUUCAGUUGGGCACUCUAGCGAGACUGCCGGUAAUAAACCGGAGGAAGGUGGGGAUGACGUCAAAUCAUCAUGCCCCUUAUGACCUGGGCUACACACGUGCUACAAUGGUUGGUACAACGAGUUGCGAGUCGGUGACGGCGAGCUAAUCUCUCAAAGCCAAUCUCAGUUCGGAUUGUAGGCUGCAACUCGCCUACAUGAAGUCGGAAUCGCUAGUAAUCGCGGAUCAGCACGCCGCGGUGAAUACGUUCCCGGGCCUU
rnacentral:rRNA from 1 species